GACGAACGCUGGCGGCGUGCUUAACACAUGCAAGUCGAACGGAAAGGCCCUGCUUGCAGGGUGCUCGAGUGGCGAACGGGUGAGUAACACGUGGGUGAUCUGCCCCUUAUUUUGGGAUAAGCCUGGGAAACUGGGUCUAAUACUGGAUAGGACCAUGCUGUAGGUGGUGUGGUGGAAAGAUUAGUUUCGGUAAGGGAUGAGCUCGCGGCCUAUCAGCUUGUUGGUGGGGUAAUGGCCUACCAAGGCGUCGACGGGUAGCCGGCCUGAGAGGGUGGACGGCCACAUUGGGACUGAGAUACGGCCCAGACUCCUACGGGAGGCAGCAGUGGGGAAUAUUGCACCAUGGGCGCAAGCCUGAUGCAGCGACGCCGCGUGGGGGAUGACGGCCUUCGGGUUGUAAACUCCUUUCAGCCAUGACGAAGCCCUUGUGGUGACGGUAGUGGUAGAAGAAGCACCGGCUAACUACGUG
rnacentral:rRNA from 1 species